GAAUGCUGACAUAAGUAACGAUAAAGCGGGUGAAAAGCCCGCUCGCCGGAAGACCAAGGGUUCCUGUCCAACGUUAAUCGGGGCAGGGUGAGUCGACCCCUAAGGCGAGGCCGAAAGGCGUAGUCGAUGGGAAACGGGUUAAUAUUCCCGUACUUGGUGUUACUGCGAAGGGGGGACGGAGAAGGCUAUGUUGGCCGGGCGACGGUUGUCCCGGUUUAAGCGUGUAGGUGUGUGUUCCAGGUAAAUCCGGUUCACUUUAACACUGAGGCGUGAUGACGAGGCACCACGGUGCUGAAGCAACAAAUGCCCUGCUUCCAGGAAAAGCCUCUAAGCCUCAGGUAACAUCAAAUCGUACCCCAAACCGACACAGGUGGUCAGGUAGAGAAUACCAAGGCGCUUGAGAGAACUCGGGUGAAGGAACUAGGCAAAAUGGUGCCGUAACUUCGGGAGAAGGCACGCUGACACGUAGGUGAAGUGGUUUACCCAUGGAGCUGAAGUCAGUCGAAGAUACCAGCUGGCUGCAACUGUUUAUUAAAAACACAGCACUGUGCAAACACGAAAGUGGACGUAUACGGUGUGACGCCUGCCCGGUGCCGGAAGGUUAAUUGAUGGGGUCAGCGCAAGCGAAGCUCCUGAUCGAAGCCCCGGUAAACGGCGGCCGUAACUAUAACGGUCCUAAGGUAGCGAAAUUCCUUGUCGGGUAAGUUCCGACCUGCACGAAUGGCGUAAUGAUGGCCAGGCUGUCUCCACCCGGGACUCAGUGAAAUUGAACUCGCUGUGAAGAUGCAGUGUACCCGCGGCAAGACGGAAAGACCCCGUGAACCUUUACUAUAGCUUGACACUGAACACUGGUCCUUGAUGUGCAGGAUAGGUGGGAGGCUUUGAAGUGUGGACGCCAGUCUGCAUGGAGCCAUCCUUGAAAUACCACCCUUUAAUGGCUGGUGUUCUAACGUGGGCCCGUGAACCGGGUUGCGGACAGUGUCUGGUGGGUAGUUUGACUGGGGCGGUCUCCUCCUAAAGAGUAACGGAGGAGCACGAAGGUUGGCUAAUCCUGGUCGGACAUCAGGAGGUUAGUGCAAUGGCAUAAGCCAGCUUGACUGCGAGCGUGACGGCGCGAGCAGGUGCGAAAGCAGGUCAUAGUGAUCCGGUGGUUCUGAAUGGAAGGGCCAUCGCUCAACGGAUAAAAGGUACUCCGGGGAUAACAGGCUGAUACCGCCCAAGAGUUCAUAUCGACGGCGGUGUUUGGCACCUCGAUGUCGGCUCAUCACAUCCUGGGGCUGAAGUAGGUCCCAAGGGUAUGGCUGUUCGCCAUUUAAAGUGGUACGCGAGCUGGGUUUAGAACGUCGUGAGACAGUUCGGUCCCUAUCUGCCGUGGGCGCUGGAAGAUUGAGGGGGGCUGCUCCUAGUACGAGAGGACCGGAGUGGACGCAUCACUGGUGUUCGGGUUGUCAUGCCAAUGGCACUGCCCGGUAGCUACAUGCGGAAGAGAUAAGUGCUGAAAGCAUCUAAGCACGAAACUUGCCCCGAGAUGAAUCUUCCCUGAGCCUUUAAGGCUCCUGAAGGAACGUUGAAGACGACGACGUUGAUAGGCCGGGUGUGUAAGCGCAGCGAUGCGUUGAGCUAACCGGUACUAAUGAACCGUGAGGCUUAACCUU
rnacentral:rRNA from 1 species